rnacentral:rRNA from 1 species
AACGAACGCUGGCGGCGUGUCUUAAGCAUGCAAGUCGAGCGGCAAGGGCCAGCAAUGGCCCCUAGAGCGGCGGACUGGUGAGUAACGCGUGGAUGAUCUGCCCUUUGGUUGGGGAUAGCCAUUAGAAAUAGUGGGUAAUACCGAAUACGUUGCCAUGACCACGGUCAUGGCAGGAAAGGCGCUACGGCGCCGCCGGAGGAUGAGUCCGCGUCCCAUUAGCUAGUUGGUGGGGUAAGAGCCUACCAAGGCGAUGAUGGGUAGCCGGCCUGAGAGGGUGUACGGCCACACUGGGACUGAGAUACGGCCCAGACUCCUACGGGAGGCAG